rnacentral:rRNA from 1 species
UACGGGGGGGGUAAGCGUUGUUCGGAAUUACUGGGCGUAAAGGGCUCGUAGGCGGCCAACUAAGUCAGACGUGAAAUCCCUCAGCUUAACUGGGGAACUGCGUCUGAUACUGGAUGGCUUGGAUUCGGGAGAGGAAUGCGGAAUUCCAGGUGUAGCGGUGAAAUGCGUAGAUAUCUGGAGGAACACCGGUGGCGAAGGCGGCGUCCUGGACCAACACUGACACUGAGGAGCGAAAGCCAGGGGAGCAAACGGG